GGAGUUAGCCGGUGCUUCUUCUGUGAGUGAUGUCCUUCCUGCCGGCUAUUAACCCGCAGGCCUUCUUCCUCACUGAAAGUGCUUUACAACCCGAAGGCCUUCUUCACACACGCGGCAUGGCUGGAUCAGGGUUGCCCCCAUUGUCCAAUAUUCCCCACUGCUGCCUCCCGUAGGAGUCUGGGCCGUGUCUCAGUCCCAGUGUGGCUGAUCAUCCUCUCAGACCAGCUACGGAUCGUCGCCUUGGUGAGCCGUUACCUCACCAACCAGCUAAUCCGACAUAGGCUCAUCCGAUAGCGCGAGUCCCGAAGGUCCCCCGCUUUCCCCCGUAGGGCGUAUGCGGUAUUAGCCUGGGUUUCCCCAGGUUAUCCCCCACUACCGGGCAGAUUCCUAUGCAUUACUCACCCGUCCGCCGCUCGCCACCAGGGAGCAAGCUCCCCGUGCUGCCGCUCGACUUGCAUGNGUUAGGCCUGCCGCCAGCGUUCAAUCUGAGCCAGAAUCGAAACCCUGA
rnacentral:rRNA from 1 species